rnacentral:rRNA from 1 species
AUGAACGCUUGCCGCGUGCCUAAUACAUGCAAGUCGAGCGAACAGACGAGGAGCUUGCUCCUCUGACGUUAGCGGCGGACGGGUGAGUAACCCGUGGAUAACCUACCUAUAAGACUGGGAUAACUUCGGGAAACCGGAGCUAAUACCGGAUAAUAUAUUUAACCGCAUGGUUCAAUAGUGAAAGACGGUUUUGCUUUCACUUAUAGAUGGAUCCGCGCCGCAUUAGCUAGUUGGUAAGGUAACGGCUUACCAAGGCAACGAUGCGUAGCCGACCUGAGAGGGUGAUCGGCCACACUGGAACUGAGACACGGUCCAGACUCCUACGGGAGGCAGCAGUAGGGAAUCUUCCGCAAUGGGCGAAAGCCUGACGGAGCAACGCCGCGUGAGUGAUGAAGGUCUUCGGAUCGUAAAACUCUGUUAUUAGGGAAGAACAAAUGUGUAAGUAACUAUGCACGUCUUGACGGUACCUAAUCAGAAAGCCACGGCUAACUACGUG